rnacentral:rRNA from 1 species
UACAGAGGUCCCAAGCGUUGUUCGGAUUCAUUGGGCGUAAAGGGUGCGUAGGCGGCGCGGUAAGUCGGGUGUGAAAUCUCGGAGCUCAACUCCGAAACUGCAUUCGAUACUGCUGUGCUUGAGGACUGGAGAGGAGACUGGAAUUUACGGUGUAGCGGUGAAAUGCGUAGAUAUCGUAAGGAAGACCAGUGGCGAAGGCGGGUCUCUGGACAGUUCCUGACGCUGAGGCACGAAGGCCAGGGGAGCAAACGGG